AAUCCAUAGGUUAAUGAGGCGAACCGGGGGAACUGAAACAUCUAAGUACCCCGAGGAAAAGAAAUCAACCGAGAUUCCCCCAGUAGCGGCGAGCGAACGGGGAGGAGCCCAGAGCCUGAAUCAGCAUGUGUGUUAGUGGAAGCGUCUGGAAAGGCGCGCGAUACAGGGUGACAGCCCCGUACACAAAAGCGCAUGUGCUGUGAGCUCGAUGAGUAGGGCGGGACACGUGGUAUCCUGUCUGAAUAUGGGGGGACCAUCCUCCAAGGCUAAAUACUCCUGACUGACCGAUAGUGAACCAGUACCGUGAGGGAAAGGCGAAAAGAACCCCGGCGAGGGGAGUGAAAAAGAACCUGAAACCGUGUACGUACAAGCAGUGGGAGCACCCUUUGGGUGUGACUGCGUACCUUUUGUAUAAUGGGUCAGCGACUUAUAUUCUGUAGCAAGGUUAACCGAAUAGGGGAGCCGGAGGGAAACCGAGUCUUAACCGGGCGUUAAGUUGCAGGGUAUAGACCCGAAACCCGGUGAUCUAGCCAUGGGCAGGUUGAAGGUUGGGUAACACUAACUGGAGGACCGAACCGACUAAUGUUGAAAAAUUAGCGGAUGACCUGUGGCUGGGGGUGAAAGGCCAAUCAAACCGGGAGAUAGCUGGUUCUCCCCGAAAGCUAUUUAGGUAGCGCCUCGUGAAUUCAUCUCCGGGGGUAGAGCACUGUUUCGGCUAGGGGGCCAUCCCGGCUUACCAACCCGAUGCAAACUGCGAAUACCGGAGAAUGUUAUCACGGGAGACACACGGCGGGUGCUAACGUCCGUCGUGAAGAGGGAAACAACCCAGACCGCCAGCUAAGGUCCCAAAGUCAUGGUUAAGUGGGAAACGAUGUGGGAAGGCCCAGACAGCCAGGAUGUUGGCUUAGAAGCAGCCAUCAUUUAAAGAAAGCGUAAUAGCUCACUGGUCGAGUCGGCCUGCGCGGAAGAUGUAACGGGGCUAAACCAUGCACCGAAGCUGCGGCAGCGACACUGUGUGUUGUUGGGUAGGGGAGCGUUCUGUAAGCCUGUGAAGGUGUGUCGUGAGGCAUGCUGGAGGUAUCAGAAGUGCGAAUGCUGACAUAAGUAACGAUAAAGCGGGUGAAAAGCCCGCUCGCCGGAAGACCAAGGGUUCCUGUCCAACGUUAAUCGGGGCAGGGUGAGUCGACCCCUAAGGCGAGGCCGAAAGGCGUAGUCGAUGGGAAACGGGUUAAUAUUCCCGUACUUGGUGUUACUGCGAAGGGGGGACGGAGAAGGCUAUGUUGGCCGGGCGACGGUUGUCCCGGUUUAAGCGUGUAGGUGUGUGUUCCAGGUAAAUCCGGUUCACUUUAACACUGAGGCGUGACGACGAGGCACUACGGUGCUGAAGCAACAAAUGCCCUGCUUCCAGGAAAAGCCUCUAAGCAUCAGGUAACAUCAAAUCGUACCCCAAACCGACACAGGUGGUCAGGUAGAGAAUACCAAGGCGCUUGAGAGAACUCGGGUGAAGGAACUAGGCAAAAUGGUGCCGUAACUUCGGGAGAAGGCACGCUGACACGUAGGUGAAGUGAUUUACUCAUGGAGCUGAAGUCAGUCGAAGAUACCAGCUGGCUGCAACUGUUUAUUAAAAACACAGCACUGUGCAAACACGAAAGUGGACGUAUACGGUGUGACGCCUGCCCGGUGCCGGAAGGUUAAUUGAUGGGGUCAGCGCAAGCGAAGCUCCUGAUCGAAGCCCCGGUAAACGGCGGCCGUAACUAUAACGGUCCUAAGGUAGCGAAAUUCCUUGUCGGGUAAGUUCCGACCUGCACGAAUGGCGUAAUGAUGGCCAGGCUGUCUCCACCCGAGACUCAGUGAAAUUGAACUCGCUGUGAAGAUGCAGUGUACCCGCGGCAAGACGGAAAGACCCCGUGAACCUUUACUAUAGCUUGACACUGAACAUUGAGCCUUGAUGUGUAGGAUAGGUGGGAGGCUUUGAAGUGUGGACGCCAGUCUGCAUGGAGCCGACCUUGAAAUACCACCCUUUAAUGUUUGAUGUUCUAACGUGGACCCGUUACCCGGGUUGCGGACAGUGUCUGGUGGGUAGUUUGACUGGGGCGGUCUCCUCCUAAAGAGUAACGGAGGAGCACGAAGGUUGGCUAAUCCUGGUCGGACAUCAGGAGGUUAGUGCAAUGGCAUAAGCCAGCUUGACUGCGAGCGUGACGGCGCGAGCAGGUGCGAAAGCAGGUCAUAGUGAUCCGGUGGUUCUGAAUGGAAGGGCCAUCGCUCAACGGAUAAAAGGUACUCCGGGGAUAACAGGCUGAUACCGCCCAAGAGUUCAUAUCGACGGCGGUGUUUGGCACCUCGAUGUCGGCUCAUCACAUCCUGGGGCUGAAGUAGGUCCCAAGGGUAUGGCUGUUCGCCAUUUAAAGUGGUACGCGAGCUGGGUUUAGAACGUCGUGAGACAGUUCGGUCCCUAUCUGCCGUGGGCGCUGGAGAACUGAGGGGGGCUGCUCCUAGUACGAGAGGACCGGAGUGGACGCAUCACUGGUGUUCGGGUUGUCAUGCCAAUGGCACUGCCCGGUAGCUAAAUGCGGAAGAGAUAAGUGCUGAAAGCAUCUAAGCACGAAACUUGCCCCGAGAUGAGUUCUCCCUGAGACUUAAAGUCUCCUGAA
rnacentral:rRNA from 1 species